CUCAAAACAGAACACUAGAGCUGGAAAUGACCUGAGAACACAGAAUGUUUCAGCUUGAAGGGACAGAAGAGAUCAUUUCAUCCAACUCUCUCUCUCCUCUCAAAUUUUACAAAUGAUAAAGAUAUAUGAAAUGGCCAAGGGCAUCCAAACCACCAGAGCUGAGACCAGAAACCACAUUUCCUAAGUUCCAGUCCUGGACAUUUGUUCCCUAUGUUACCAGAUCUAUGCCCACUACUACUAGACCUAUGCCCAAGAAAAGGAAAUAAGAAAUGGAAGGAGAGAGGAAGGAAGAAAAGAAGGGAAAGAACAAGAUCUUCGAAAGAACAGGGACCCUGCUGCCUGCACAUUGUACUAAUAUUAGUUACCUAUCAGCAGCCCUCCCCCAUCAGGGUCGAUGAAUUUACCCUGUUGCCUGGAGACCGGACUCAAACAGAGACCCAGAGAGAGCACCCAGGCGCUGGAUCCCAAGGGGUUAAGAAGGAAUCCUGGAGUGGAUAACUCCUGGAGCGGAUUACGGAGCUGAGUAACCCCAGCAAAGUGAAGCCUCAGCUAGAGCUGGAAAGACACAACAAGAAGAAGGCAGUGUCUGUGGACCCCCUCCCCAGGCAGGAUUUACCUCCUGUCCCAGUGCUCAGACUGCCUCCUGCUGUA
rnacentral:lncRNA from 1 species